GUAAGAAAUCAGUUCGGUUUU
rnacentral:miRNA from 1 species